rnacentral:rRNA from 1 species
UACGGGGGGGGCAAGCGUUCUUCGGAAUGACUGGGCGUAAAGGGCACGUAGGCGGCGAAUCGGGUUGAAAGUGAAAGUCGCCAAAAAGUGGCGGAAUGCUCUCGAAACCAAUUCACUUGAGUGAGACAGAGGAGAGUGGAAUUUCGUGUGUAGGGGUGAAAUCCGUAAAUAUACGAAGGAACGCCAAAAGCGAAGGCAGCUCUCUGGGUCCCUACCGACGCUGGGGUGCGAAAGCAUGGGGAGCGAACAGG